CUACCAUGCAGUCGAGGGGUAGAAGGAGCUUGCUCCUUUGAGACCGGCGCACGGGUGCGUAACGCGUAUGCAAUCUACCUUGUACAGAGGGAUAGCCCAGAGAAAUUUGGAUUAAUACCUCAUAGUAUCUUCGGAAGGCAUCUUCUGAUUAUUAAAGUUCCAACGGUACAAGAUGAGCAUGCGUCCCAUUAGUUAGUUGGUAAGGUGACGGCUUACCAAGACAAUGAUGGGUAGGGGUCCUGAGAGGGAGAUCCCCCACACUGGUACUGAGACACGGACCAGACUCCUACGGGAGGCAGCAGUGAGGAAUAUUGGGCAAUGGAGGCAACUCUGACCCAGCCAUGCCGCGUGCAGGAAGACGGUCCUAUGGAUUGUAAACUGCUUUUAUACAGGAAGAAACCCUCCCACGUGUGGGAGCUUGACGGUACUGUAGGAAUAAGGAUCGGCUAACUCCGUGCCAGCAGCCGCGGUAAUACGGAGGAUCCGAGCGUUAUCCGGAAUCAUUGGGUUUAAAGGGUCCGUAGGCGGGUUUGUAAGUCAGUGGUGAAAUCCGGCAGCUUAACUGUCGAACUGCCAUUGAUACUGCGAGUCUUGAAUUACUGUGAAGUGGUUAGAAUAUGUAGUGUAGCGGUGAAAUGCUUAGAUAUUACAUGGAAUACCAAUUGCGAAGGCAGAUCACUAACAGUAUAUUGACGCUGAGGGACGAAAGCGUGGGUAGCGAACAGGAUUAGAUACCCUGGUAGUCCACGCCGUAAACGAUGGAUACUAGCUGUUGGGCGUACGCUCAGUGGCUAAGCGAAAGUGAUAAGUAUCCCACCUGGGGAGUACGUUCGCAAGAAUGAAACUCAAAGGAAUUGACGGGGGCCCGCACAAGCGGUGGAGCAUGUGGUUUAAUUCGAUGCAACGCGAAGAACCUUACCAGGGCUUGACAUGCCACUUUUUUCUCUUGAAAAAGAGAAUUUAACCGGUGGACACAGGGGGGUGCAUGGCUGUCGUCAGCUCCUGUCGUGAGAAUGUUGGGGUUAAGUCCCGCAACG
rnacentral:rRNA from 1 species